rnacentral:rRNA from 1 species
UACGUAGGGAGCAAGCGUUGUCCGGAAUUAUUGGGCGUAAAGAGCUCGUAGGCGGUUUGUUGCGUCGGCUGUGAAAUCCCGAGGCUCAACCUCGGGUCUGCAGUCGAUACGAGCAAACUAGAGUGUUGCAGGGGAGACUGGAAUUCCUGGUGUAGCGGUGAAAUGCGCAGAUAUCAGGAGGAACACCGGUGGCGAAGGCGGGUCUCUGGGCAGUAACUGACGCUGGAGGAGCGAAAGCGUGGGGAGCGAACAGGA